GGCGCAAUGGUUCAGUGAUAGAGCAUAUGAUUGCAAAUCGUAUGGUUCCCGAGUUCAAACCUCGAUUGCACCU
rnacentral:tRNA from 1 species